rnacentral:rRNA from 1 species
CAGGCCUAACACAUGCAAGUCGAACGGUAACAGGAAGAGCUUGCUCUUUGCUGACGAGUGGCGGACGGGUGAGUAACGCGUAGGAAUCUACCUAUCUGUGGGGGAUACCGUUUGGAAACGAACGUUAAUACCGCAUAAUAUCUUCGGAUUAAAAGUGGCACUUGUGCUGCUGCGGAUAGAUGAGCCUGCGUUAGAUUAGCUUGUUGGUGGGGUAAAGGCCUACCAAGGCUGCGAUCUAUAGCUGAUUUGAGAGGAUGAUCAGCCACAUUGGAACUGAGACACGGUCCAAACUCCUACGGGAGGCAGCAGUGGGGAAUAUUGGACAAUGGGCGGAAGCCUGAUCCAGCAAUACCAUGUGUGUGAAGAAGGCUCUAGGGUUGUAAAGCACUUUAGUCAGGGAGGAAGUUUAUUUGGUUAAUAGCUGAAUAAAUUGACGUUACCUGAAGAAUAAGCACCGGCUAACUCCGUGCCAGCAGCCGCGGUAAUACGGGGGGUGCAAGCGUUAAUCGGAAUUACUGGGCGUAAAGGGUCUGUAGGUGGUAUAGUAAGUCAGAUGUGAAAGCCCAGGGCUCAACCUUGGAACUGCAUUUGAUACUGCUAAACUAGAGUAUAGUAGAGGAAUGGGGAAUUUCUGGUGUAGCGGUGAAAUGCGUAGAGAUCAGAAGGAACACCAAUGGCGAAGGCAACAUUCUGGACUAAUACUGACACUGAGGGACGAAAGCGUGGGGAUCAAACAGGAUUAGAUACCCU